rnacentral:lncRNA from 1 species
UUUCGGCUGGGGCUUGGAAUGGAUCUCGCGUAGGGAUGGAUUUCGGCUGGGGUUUUCGGGUUUAAGGUUGCUGAAGGAGAUAUAGAUGGGGAUUUUUCUAUUUGAGCUGGGAUUUUUCUUUUCUUUUUUUUUUUUUUUUGGUUGUCAAUUUUCUUUUUUUUCUGGGUUUCUGGGUUUGUGUUGCUGGCUAGGGUUUGUGGGUUUGUGGGGGAGGGAUGGUCAUGGGAGAAUGGGGUGAUGAUGACAAGAGACCCUAGACCAAGGCUAAGGUGGAAAGGGAGGAAGGUUUGUUGGGGAAUGGUGGUGAUGAGUCUGUGGGUGUAAGAACAUAAAGCGAGAGGAGGAGGGAGGGUUCUAUGGGUUGAAGGGUGUGGGGGUGGGGGAUUGGUUUGGGAGUAAAGGAUGGUGGUUAUGGGGGAAUGGGAGGAGAAAGGGAGG